rfam:Ornithorhynchus anatinus chromosome 7, whole genome shotgun sequence.
AGCAGCGUGGCUCAGUGGAAAGAGCCCGGGCUUGGGAGUCAGAGGGCAUGGGUUCGAAUCCCAGCCCUGCCA